CUGCAAUAGCUCCAUGACUAACAGGUAACAGUAGUAACCUGCAAUAGCUCCAUGACUAACUGGUAACAGUAGUAACCUGCAAUAGCUCCAUGACUAACUGGUAACAGUAGUAACCUGCAAUAGCUCCAUGACUAACAGGUAACAGUAGUAACCUGCAAUAGCUCCAUGACUAACUGGUAACAGGAACCUGCAAUAGCUCCAUGACUAACAGGUAACAGUAGUAACCUGCAAUAGCUCCAUGACUAACAGGUAACAGUAGUAACCUGCAAUAGCUCCAUGACUAACUGGUAACAGUAGUAACCUGCAAUAGCUCCAUGACUAACUGGUAACAGUAGUAACCUGCAAUAGCUCCAUGACUAACAGGUAACAGUAGUAACCUGCAAUAGCUCCAUGACUAACUGGUAACAGGAACCUGCAAUAGCUCCAUGACUAACUGGUAACAGGAACCUGCAAUAGCUCCAUGACUAACAGGUAACAGUAGUAACCUGCAAUAGCUCCAUGACUAACUGGUAACAGGAACCUGCAAUAGCUCCAUGACUAACUGGUAACAGGAACCUGCAAUAGCUCCAUGACUAACUGGUAACAGGAACCUGCAAUAGCUCCAUGACUAACAGGUAACAGUAGUAACCUGCAAUAGCUCCAUGACUAACAGGUAACAGUAGUAACCUGCAAUAGCUCCAUGACUAACAGGUAACAGUAGUAACCUGCAAUAGCUCCAUGACUAACAGGUAACAGUAGUAACCUGCAAUAGCUCCAUGACUAACUGGUAACAGGAACCUGCAAUAGCUCCAUGACUAACUGGUAACAGGAACCUGCAAUAGCU